rnacentral:rRNA from 1 species
GACGAACGCUGGCGGCGUGCCUAAUACAUGCAAGUUGAGCGAUGAAGCUUGGUGCUUGCACCAAUUUGAAGAGCAGCGAACGGGUGAGUAACGCGUGGGGAAUCUGCCUUUGAGCGGGGGACAACAUUUGGAAACGAAUGCUAAUACCGCAUAACAACUUUAAACAUAAGUUUUAAGUUUGAAAGAUGCAAUUGCAUCACUCAAAGAUGAUCCCGCGUUGUAUUAGCUAGUUGGUGAGGUAAAGGCUCACCAAGGCGAUGAUACAUAGCCGACCUGAGAGGGUGAUCGGCCACAUUGGGACUGAGACACGGCCCAAACUCCUACGGGAGGCAGCAGUAGGGAAUCUUCGGCAAUGGACGAAAGUCUGGCCGAGCAACGCCGCGUGAGUGAAGAAGGUUGUCGGAUCGUAAAACUCUGUUGGUAGAGAAGAACGUUGGUGAGAGUGGAAAGCUCAUCAAGUGACGGUAACUACCCAGAAAGGGACGGCUAACUACGUG